UACGGAGGGGGCUAGCGUUGUUCGGAAUUACUGGGCGUAAAGCGCACGUAGGCGGACGAGAAAGUCAGAGGUGAAAUCCCCAGGGCUCAACCUUGGAACUGCCUUUGAAACUUCUUGUCUUGAGGUCGAGAGAGGUGAGUGGAAUUCCAUGUGUAGCGGUGAAAUGCGUAGAUAUAUGGAGGAACACCGGUGGCGAAAGCGGCUCUCUGGCCUGUAACUGACACUGAGGCUCGAAAGCGUGGGGAGCAAACAGGAUUAGAUACCCUGGUAGUCCACGCCGUAAACGAUGAGUGCUAGAUGUAGGGAGCUAUAAGUUCUCUGUACCGCAGCUAACGCAAUAAGCACUCCGCCUGGGGAGUACGACCGCAAGGUUGAAACUC
rnacentral:rRNA from 1 species